AUAUUGGUAACAUCUGCAGUUCCUUGACUGAGGACCAUUGUCUGGACGCAGGAGCCUUACGGUCCAACUGGAAGGAAAACCAGAAGUGCCAGAAAGUUAAUAGCACUGGAAAAAGCCCUCAACUGAUGAUGGAUUAGAAUAUAUGAUAGUUAACUACCCCAGAGUGUUUGACUCUUAGUUGAGGGGCUGGGUAAAUCCAAUCGCUUUUGUUCCAUCUCAACCAGAAGCGGAAGUCAGCUUCCCAUAUCAAAGAUAUGAUGUAUCAUAACAAACUUAAGUUGAAGAUAUUCAAUUCAGAGGUUGUUAUUACGACUGAGCUGACAGUAAAGGAGAAAUUUACCCAACAUCCAGUCAUUGGUAUCCCAGAGAAGAAACCCUAGCUGAGCAUUAAAUAAAGAGCAGCAUCCUCCAAGGUUUGCAGCUGUGGGAGAAAAGGACAUUGGGAAUCUUUUCCUUACUGGACCUGAAAAGCCCCAACACUAAUGAUAAACAAUCAAGGCAGCAUCCACAGGAGUUCCAAAAAGAGGAAGUGGCCUGGGCCAUUUUGGAUUUGGAAAAAUUGAGAAAGGAGUAGAGGCUUCAAAGGUACUAGAUUCCUUUAACUACAGUUAUGACUUAAGAUUAUCUUUCUCCACCUCCUUGAAGAUGUGGC